GAUAUAUUUCUUAAUAUCACUCUUUAUUGCUAUUCAUGUUCACUGCCUUGAAUGUUAUUUUGUUCUUUUUGUUUUCAUCUAUUAUUAUUAUUAUUAUUAUUACAGUUUUGUUUUGGAACUUACUAUGCAGCCCUCACUGACUUGGAACAGAUGGAGGUCCAUCUACAUCUGCAAGGAUGUGCUAUUCAGCCCGGCACUAGCCAGCAUCUGCUUCCUUCAUGUCGUCAGCUUCUGAGUGUCGAAGAGGAGGGAGAGUGGUUCAGGAACUUCCUUUGCCCUCUGUUGUUCAAGUCCAGUGUCAAUGCUACUUUAGAGAUGACCUGAAGCUGAGUGUAAGUAACUGUCCAACCUCACGUUGAGAACUCACGCUCCCAGGCACUAUUUCUACAGCCAUGGCCCUCUGUCUGCAAUGGUCUGCCAUACAUCCAUGUAUAUGUCUAUUUGUAGGAUGUUUUGUGUACAUAUGGAGGUUGGGAGGUGUAUGUGUAUGUGUAGGUAUAGG